UUGGGGGUGUUGCUCAGUGGUAGAGUGCUUAUUUAACAUGAAUGAUGCCCUGGGUUUGAUCCCCAGCCCAAAAC
rnacentral:tRNA from 1 species